AUACUUACCUGGCGUAGAGGUUAACCGUGAUCAUGAAAACGGUUCUUCCGGAGCGAGAUCUAAUCAUUACAGUACGAUGGGGUUCACCCUACAAUUAUUCCUAAUGUGAAUAACUCGUGCGUGUAAUUUUUGGUAGCCGGGAAUGGCGUUCGCGCCGUCCCGAC
rnacentral:snRNA from 1 species